rnacentral:lncRNA from 1 species
CUGUCCUGCCAGGGUGAGAGCUGAGUUCAGGCUUCAUAGCCCAAGUUGCAGGCUAUAAGCUGAUAGCCAUUGGAAAGGUCACUAAAGGCAAUGUCGUGUUACAGUCACUGGGCCAGCGACUUCUUUUACAAAGACCACUGAAGUCCUUAAUAACCAGGGUGAGGCUGAAAGGAGGAGGAGGUAAAGGCCCCAUGCCCCUGUGCCAGUGCUUCAAUCUAUCCCAGCUGGAUCGGGGGGUGGUAUUUUGGGCAGGUCUGUGACCAAGUUUUGUGCCUCUCCUCUGACACCAGCCACACACCAUCCUCCCCUAAUAACAGGGGUGAGGGUCUAAUAGCAAACAGCUGAGCAGCCACUGCAUGCACCUGGCCAGAACAAGAAAUAGGCCUGCAGCACCACUGAGCAAUGUACUGGACCUUUGCAGACCAUUUCUAUCGGUACCAAAGCAAGGGAAAAAUCAAACGUGGCUAACACCAAUGUCCUCUUGGUUUAGCGGACCUACGGCUCUGCACCUCGGGCAGCACAGACCAUCCAUCCCCCGCUCGGACCCCAGCAGAACCAGCUCCUUUCCCUGGCAGCUGCCAGCUUCUGGCGUCUCCUCCUUCACCACCAUGUCAAUAUGAUCUCACGAACACUAUGCUGCUGCCGCGCUUGAAAGGAUGCAAGGAGGAGGAAGUGCAAUGGAGAAGAGGCGCUUGUUGAAUCAGAAAUGCCUGGUAUAGACUUAAUGGUGCUUAAUGCCUUAUAGCAAUUCUUUUCCUGGGGUCUGUGUUUUGCCUUCUUAAUUUCAACUUUGUGAUGCUCCGUGAACAGAGGUAAAUGCUCUUGCAUUCACGUUGAAUAUGUAGGGUGAUAACGAGUCUUUGUGGUGGUACUCCACUUAAGGUAACCCUUAUGACAGAAGAGGAACUGCUCAGUGCCAAUACAGUUCCCAUUAAAUAGCCCCAUUUGCUACCUCUAGAAAUGACUAAUAGAUCAACAAUAGAGCUGGAGGGGAAUUUCUUGACUUUCCAAUGAAAAAGGCACUUCCUACUAGAUAAGUUUUCUAUUGGGGAAUCUGAUUUUUUUUUUUUUCCUCCC